ensembl:snRNA Gm25269 predicted gene, 25269
AUUAUUUUGGCAGAAUGUACAUUAAGAUUAUAAUGAUACAGAGACUGUAAGCAUUGUCCCUGUACAAGGAUGACACGUAAUAAAAAUAAUAAUAAUAAUAAAUA